GUCAAUAACCCACCACUUACGAACAAAGUUCGUUGAAGUGGGGGCUUGUGAAAACAAACCUUUAUUGACUACCCUCAGUCCUUCAAGGACUACGUUGGUUGAGUUACGACACCUACGGAUGCUCCUCAAGUCCGUAGCAACUGUCGUGGAUGGUUAAAACCUCUGAUGGGUAGGAGCGGUGCUGUCCACCGAACAAGCUCUUCCAACUUUGGGUAUGAGGCAAUUAA
rfam:Paenibacillus polymyxa SC2 plasmid pSC2, complete sequence.